CCUACGGGUGGCUGCAGUGAGGAAUAUUGGUCAAUGGACGCAAGUCUGAACCAGCCAUGCAGCGUGAAGGAAGACGGCUCUAUGAGUUGUAAACUGCUUUUGUACGAGGGUAAACGCAGAUACGCGUAUCUUUCUGUAAGUAUCGUACGAAUAAGGAUCGGCUAACUCCGUGCCAGCAGCCGCGGUAAUACGGAGGAUUCAAGCGUUAUCCGGAUUUAUUGGGUUUAAAGGGAGCGUAGGCGGUUUGAUAAGUUAGAUGUGAAAUUCUGCGGCUCAACUGUGGAAUUGCCUCUGAUACUGGUCGGCUAGAGUGUAGUUGCGGUAGGCGGAAUGUAUGGUGUAGCGGUGAAAUGCUUAGAGAUCAUAAAGAACACCGAUUGCGAAGGCAGCUUACCAAGCUACUUCUGACGUUGAUGCACGAAAGCGUGGGUAGCAAACAGGAUUAGAUACCCCAGUAGUC
rnacentral:rRNA from 1 species